GACGAACUUUGGCGGCGUGCUUAACACAUGCAAGUCGAACGGAAAGGCCCUGCUUUUGUGGGGUGCUCGAGUGGCGAACGGGUGAGUAACACGUGAGUAACCUGCCCUUGACUUUGGGAUAACUUCAGGAAACUGGGGCUAAUACCGGAUAGGAGCUCCUGCUGCAUGGUGGGGGUUGGAAAGUUUCGGCGGUUGGGGAUGGACUCGCGGCUUAUCAGCUUGUUGGUGGGGUAGUGGCUUACCAAGGCUUUGACGGGUAGCCGGCCUGAGAGGGUGACCGGCCACAUUGGGACUGAGAUACGGCCCAGACUCCUACGGGAGGCAGCAGUGGGGAAUAUUGCACAAUGGGCGGAAGCCUGAUGCAGCAACGCCGCGUGCGGGAUGACGGCCUUCGGGUUGUAAACCGCUUUCGCCUGUGACGAAGCGUGAGUGACGGUAAUGGGUAAAGAAGCACCGGCUAACUACGUGCCAGCAGCCGCGGUGAUACGUAGGGUGCGAGCGUUGUCCAGAUUUAUUGGGCGUAAAGGGCUCGUAGGUGGUUGAUCGCGUCGGAAGUGUAAUCUUGGGGCUUAACCCUGAGCGUGCUUUCGAUACGGGUUGACUUGAGGAAGGUAGGGGAGAAUGGAAUUCCUGGUGGAGCGGUGGAAUGCGCAGAUAUCAGGAGGAACACCAGUGGCAAAGGCGGUUCUCUGGGCCUUUCCUGACGCUGAGGAGCGAAAGCGUGGGGAGCGAACAGGCUUAGAUACCCUGGUAGUCCACGCUGUAAACGGUGGGUACUAGGUGUGGGGUCCAUUCCACGGGUUCCGUGCCGUAGCUAACGCUUUAAGUACCCCGCCUGGGGAGUACGGCCGCAAGGCUAAAACUCAAAGGAAUUGACGGGGCCCCGCACAAGCGGCGGAGCAUGCGGAUUAAUUCGAUGCAACGCGUAGAACCUUACCUGGGUUUGACAUGGAUCGGGAGUGCUCAGAGAUGGGUGUGCCUCUUUUGGGGUCGGUUCACAGGUGGUGCAUGCCUGUCGUCAGCUCGUGUCGUGAGAUGUUGGGUUAGGUCCCGCAACGAGCGCAACCCUUGUUCACUGUUGCCAGCACGUUAUGGUGGGGACUCAGUGGAGACCGCCGGGGUCAACUCGGAGGAAGGUGGGGAUGACGUCAAGUCCUCAUGCCCCUUAUGUCCAGGGCUUCACGCAUGCUACAAUGGCUGGUACAGAGAGUGGCGAGCCUGUGAGGGUGAGCGAAUCUCGGAAAGCCGGUCUCAGUUCGGAUUGGGGUCUGCAACUCGACCUCAUGAAGUCGGAGUCGCUAGUAAUCGCAGAUCAGCAACGCUGCGGUGAAUACGUUCCCGGGGCU
rnacentral:rRNA from 1 species